CAAGAAUGUUAAAUGAAAAGGACUGCUAUAUAAAACAAUUCUGAUGGUGUGGGAAGGGGACAGUGAAAAAUGACUAUGUUAUCUUAGAGGAAACAUGGGGUCCAUUCAGAUACAUCCUCGAUCUAAGAAUAGUAAAAUUUCAGAGGAAAAAAAAAAGCUAAAACCAUGUGGGUAGAUAAUUUAAAAGAGAAUAGGACCAAAGGAAAAUAAGUUUCCCAAAACUCUCUCAUGUAAUGGAACUGUCAUCAACAUGAUAUAUUUUAAUUAGAAACUAAGUAUUUAAUAGUGUGAAUAAAAUGGAGAAGUAAGAGCUGGCUGACAAAUUCACCACUGUCAAAUCUUUAUUUCUAGAAGGUUUUAUAAAAGAGUGCAGCUAAUAUCCUUAGGUCCCUCAAUUCCUCUCUAAGAAUCUCUCCUUCAGAAGAAAUACUAGCACAUAUAAAUAAAGAACUGUGUGCAAGAAUAUACAUUAGCUCUUUGUAAUAGGAAAAGUAAAAAUAACUGCAUAUAUAAAUGUCUAUAUAUAGGUGAUUGGUUUCAUAAAUUAUGUGACUUCCUGUAACUGGUAUGUGGCACACACAGGGCAUGACAGAUCUAUAUGAAGACAUGAAAGGUGUAGACUCAAUACUGAUCGGUACAAAAGCAAGAGGCGGAGCGUGGUGUGCUGGAGGGUGUGAGAGCUGAAUUGCAGCUGCUGUGGUCACACCCUGUGUACACGGAGGGUGAAAGGCCUGGCAGCAUCCAGGAGCCCAAGGCAGAAGAGAGGGUCCUGGCCACAGCCGCCCAUUGCCUAGGAUGGACUCACCUGAAUCUGGACCUCAGCUCUUGUCUACAUUAGCCACGCCAAUGUGAGUUUUCUUUGCCUUUACUUGUAAGCCCAAAUUAAAAAUUUUAAAAGUUUCUUAUUUGCUUUAUUUUGUUGGUGCUGGGGAUCCAACUCAGGAUGGUGCACGUACUAGGCCAACUGCUCUACCACUGAGCUCCAUCCAGCCCCUAGUUUGGCUUUUAAUUGCCACAUAAUAAUUGUACAUAUUUAUGGGAUGCAGUGUGAUGUUUCAAUAAAUUUAUAUAAUGUGACAAAAAUCUUAGCAGAAUGACACACACAAACACAUGUAUGCAUGUUAUUGUGCCCUUGUCCCUUCCGUUUGGUUUAAAUGUCUUAGCAUGAUCUGGUCUGAAGGUAGAGAAAGGAUGCGAAUCCUCGGGGCGCUUCAAGCCCCUUGUUUUCAUGCCCAGUUCCUUGAUGGUAGCCCUGCGCAGCGCGACUUCUCUGAAGCCUAUGUAUAUAUUUUGGUUUUUAUCUCGGGUUUUGUUAAAGUAUUUAGAUUUUUGUUCUUGAACCUGAAGCAGCUCCAGAACAACUUUGAGAGAUAAGGAAGAAAGCCAUCUUUUAUGAUUUACUAAAUAUAGCAGGAAGUAUACAAAAUGAGCCUUGAGCAUCUUGUAGUAUGGAAUGUAAUGAAGUGCUAAAAAAACAAAAGUCUCACAUUAAUGGGUGUAUGUAGAAGGUGCACAAGAGGCAAUUGAAAGAGCUCCCAAAGGCCAAAGCUGGAAUAAUCUAAUCAAUAACGUAGGUAGCACUGGAUUACAACCCAAAGUUCAAAAUAAAUAUCCAUGAUUUCAUAGUGAUAUAAAUAAGCAAUUGAAUAAAUUAAUAACUGGAGAAGAUGAGACACAUUUCUCAUGCAGAAUACUUUAAAAUAAUUUAUGUAGACAAACUGCUGUCAAGAUGGAGCAUAACUUCCCACUCACGUGGAGGCACAUGGUGACUUCCUUCCAAAGAGUGCGGCAUGGAAAGAGAGGAGAGAGUGACUUUGUGGGCUGGGUGUGGCUCAGUGGUAGAGCACUUGCCUAGCAUGUGUAAGUAGGCUUUGGGUUUGAUUCCCCAGCACCCAAAAUAUCAUACAUAAAUGAAGUAACUUCACAGUGGAGAAACCUGACAAAUACCUCCUCAGGUCCAGGGGGUGAUGCUGAUGACCUUUCCCCAUAAUGUGACACGAUGUGGUAAGUAAGGAUGGUCCUUGCCUCUCUGGUCUCCCUCCCCCAAACACACAUAUGUGGGGGUAGACACAUAAUCCCAUGCUAAUCAUGAGAAAACACAGCAGACAGAUUCCAGUAGAGGGAGACCCUACAAAAUACCUAAUCAGUAUGCCUCAAAACUCAAAAGAUCAAAACCAAGCAACGUCUGUAUAAUUCUCACAGCCAAGAGAAGCCUGAGGAGACUGGACAACUAAAUGUGACAUGGUUUUUCCUGGGUGGGAUCCUGGAACAGAAAAAGGACAUCGGGGAGUCAGAUGUGGCAGCAUACACCUACAAUCCCAGCAAUUCAGGAAGCUGAGCAGGAGGAGCCCAAGUUUGAGAGCACUCUGGGCAACUUAGUGAGACCCUAUCUGAAAAUAAAUAAAAAUGUCUGGGAGUGCAGCUCAGUGGUAAAGAACCACUGGGUUCAAUCCUCAGCAUCAGCAAUUUAAAAAAAGCUAGGCAUGGUGAUGCAAGCCUGUAAUCCCAGCAGCUUGGAGCCUUAGGAGGAUCACGAGUUCAAAGCCAGUCUCAACAACAGCGAGGCACCAAGCAACUCAGUGAGACCCUGUCUCUAAAUAAAAUAUAAAAUAGGGCUCAGGAUGUGGCUCUCAGUGGUCACAUCUUCUGUAACCAAAAAAACCACUGGGGGGAAAUUUAAGGAAAUCAGAAUAAAGUAUAGACUUAAUAAUUAACAAUGAUGUAUUAAUAUUUGUGUUUUAAAUGCAAUAAAUAUACCAUACCAAGGUAAGAUGUUAAUAAUAAGUGAAACUGGUGCCUGGUAUCUGGGAAUUCUUUGUACUAUCUUCUUGAUUUUUCUGUAAGUAUAAAAUUGUUUUGAAAAAUAAAGUCUAUUAAAAAUGUAUGUGUGGGCUGGGGCUGUAGCUCAGUGGUAGAGCCUUUGCCUCACAGAGGUAAGGCACUGGGUUCUAUCCUCAGAACCACAUAAACAAAUAAAAAAUAAAGACUUCACUCUCUCCUCCAAAGUACUUCUUAAAAAUGGACGUAUCUAAAGAUAGGAAGUUUAGGGACAAAAUGAUACUACUUAGAGUUGGAAUUAAGUGUAUCUUAUCACCUUUUGUAUUAAAACAGAAGUGAGGGGUAAAGUAUGACAAUACCACAGUACAUUCACCAGUUAUGUCAGAAAGUCCCGAUGACUCUCAUGUAGGAGACUAAAAUAUUCCACAUAAAUUAUAAAUCCCUCAUUAAUUAUACAUUUGCAUUUAACUACUGGUGGCAAAGGAAUAUUCUUUACCUUGUUUAGAUAAUGUAUAACUGAAUAGGGAAGCUCAUUUUCACCCAUUUUACUCACUUUAGACUUGAAAGGUUUUAUUCCUGCUAGUCUCCUAAGACCUCCUGUCAAGCUGAAAUAUACAACUUUUUUCAUUCUUGAUCUUAGCAUUUGUAAGGGAUAAAUAAUUGAUUAGCAUAGGAAUUCUGGGAAUAUAUUUAGCUUUUGCUCAGCACUAAACUAUUUUUAAAUGUCCUUAGGCAUCAACCCAGAAUGUACAUCUGAAGGAUGUCAAUUGGAAAUUGGGAAGUGAAGCGACAGCUUGGAUUAGAAGUCUGAAGCGUGAAGUGCAGAGGGAGGAAGAGCAGCUGCCAGUUUCCCUGCCGCUCAACCGCCCGUCCACCUUGCCGCGCUCCUCCAGUCUCAUACACGUCCCUCUGGUUAACACUACGCCCUCUUUGAGGGCAGAAUCUUUCCUUCUACAGAAUGUGGUUGUGAGUUUCUCUUCACCCUUCAAAAAUGAGUUGAAGAAAAAGAAGAAUUAAAAACAUUUUUUUAUUUUAUUGUGAUGAGAUCAUUUAACAUGAGAUCUACCCUCUUCAUAAAAUUUAAGUGUUGUGUUCAGUGUUGUUAACAUUGGGACAAUGUCGUACAGCAAGUCUCAGCAAGAACUUAUUAUCUGACAUGAUUGAGACUCUGUGCCUAUAAAUUGUCAACUCCCUGUCUCACCCACACCUGAACGACCCAUUCCACCCUCUGAAUCCUCGGAUGUGUCUGUUUUAUUUACCUCGUGUGAGUGGAAUCAUGCAGCACUUGACCUUCUGUGACUGGCUCUUUCACUCACCCUAAGUCUUCCAGUUUCAUUCACGUCAAACACGGCAGAUUCCUUUCUUUUUUUCUCCUUUUGGUACUGGGGAUUGAACCUAGGGUGUUGAGCUUGGCUCUACCACUGAGCUAUACUCCCAGCUCAUUUAAAAAAAUUUUUCUUUUGAGACAGGGACUGACCAAGUUUCCGAGACAUUCUAUCCUCUUGCCUCUGCCUCCCAAAUCACUGGGAUUACAGGUGUGGGCCGCUUCACCCAGCUAGAUCUCCCUCUUUUUAAAGCCUGAAUGAUAUUCAUUUUAUGAAUAUAUCACACUUUCUUUACCCAUUCAUCUACUGAUGGAUAUUUAGGUUGUUUCCACAUCUUGGCUGUUGUGAAUAAUGCUACAAUAUUCUAAUAUCUUUUUGAGAUCCUGAUUUCAGUUUUUGAAGUGGGACGGUUGGAUUAUUUUGUAAAUUUGUUUUUAAUUUUUUGAAGAACCUCACACUGUUUUCCAUAGCAGCUGUACUAUUCCACAUUUGCACAAACAGUGUGCAAGACUCUGAUUUAUCUUCAUCCUUGCCAAUGCCAGCACUCCCAAUUUGGCUUUUCUUAAUAGUCACCCUAACAGGUGUGAGGUGACAACUCCUGUGGCUUUGAUUUUCACUUCCGUGAUGAUCAGUGAUGCGAGUAUCUUUCCAUAUACUUGUUAGUCAUCUAUAUAUCUUCUUUGGAGAAAUGUUUAUUCAAGUAUUUAGCCCAUUUAAAAAAAAAGCGUUGGGGCUGGCGAUGUGGCUCAAGUGGUAGUGCGCUUGCCUAGCAUGCAUGAGGCACUGGGUUCGAUUCUCAGCACCACAUAAAAAAAUAAAAUAAAGAUAUUGUGUCCACCUAAAACUAAAAAAUA
rnacentral:lncRNA from 1 species